rnacentral:rRNA from 1 species
AUUGAACGCUGGCGGCAGGCUUAACACAUGCAAGUCGAGCGGAGCGAGGGUGCUUGCACCUUAGCUUAGCGGCGGACGGGUGAGUAAUGCUUAGGAAUCUGCCUAUUAGUGGGGGACAACAUUCCGAAAGGAAUGCUGAUACCGCAUACGCCCUACGGGGGAAAGCAGGGGAUCUUCGGACCUUGCGCUAAUAGAUGAGCCUAAGUCAGAUUAGCUAGUUGGUGGGGUAAAGGCCUACCAAGGCGACGAUCUGUAGCGGGUCUGAGAGGAUGAUCCGCCACGCUGGGACUGAGACACGGCCCAGACUCCUACGGGAGGCAGCAGUGGGGAAUAUUGGACAAUGGGCGGAAGCCUGAUCCAGCCAUGCCGCGUGUGUGAAGAAGGCCUUUUGGUUGUAAAGCACUUUAAGCAAGGAGGAGGCUACCGAGAUUAAUACUCUUGGAUAGUGGACGUUACUCGCAGACUAAGCACCGGCUAACUCUGUGCCAGCCGCCGCCGUAAAAC